CCUGCUGAGUCAGAAUCCACAUUUGAACAAGAACCACAGUGGAUGUGUGCGCAUAUUAAGGUUUGAGAAGCUCCAGUCUGGACCCCAAAGCUUGGUUCAGAAUAAGGUGGACCCAGCAGCCGGCUGCAGAGGUGGCUGUGGAUUCUCCCUGCUGAAGACAGACUCCAUCUCAGAAGGAGGGGGCAGAGCCCAGAUAAGGCUUUAGAGUGUGCUGAUCCUGGCCCUCCAGAGAGGCUCCUUCCACGGUCCCUACUCCAGCCCUAGCACAGACCCAGCCGCUGCCUAAACCUGAGUGCCCCAAAAGUCUUGUCUGGGGUUUCUGCUUGUUUGCUAUCCUCGAAGAUUCCAAAGGCUACUUUGAAAGGGCCAAGGAGCUAUCGGCCACUGGCCAACAGCACCAGCUGCCUGCUUGCCUGUUCUGGCGCCAAGCCUUGGGCCUGGAGUGCUCGGGCCUCUCCCCUUCAUAACCACGUCCCUGAGGAGGCCAGGAUCGAGGUAGGAUGACUGAGCUUAUUUUAAGCUUGUUAUUGAAGGUUGCUCUUUAACAACAAGAGUCCUCUCCAAUUCUAGGCUGCCGGAGUCAGUGUCCUAAAUAAGAAACAAGCGGUCACUUCUUUCCCAUUUUACUUUUAGGGGAAGGAAGCCACAGCCCAGUGGGAAAUGACAUCCCUGGCCCUUGCUGUUUGCCACCUCAAGCCUCGCCUGGCUGUCAGGGCCGGAAUUAAUGUCCCCGUGGUGGCGUCUGCUUCCCAGACUGUGGGGCGAGCAAGGGGCUCAGCUGUUCCCCAGCCCUGCCUUCCUCCACGGAUCUGAUAGGACUCUUUUAUGGGAAUUUACAUAAAAGGAACGCCUUGCUCAGUGUGGAAAAUUUAGGAGCUGUGGGAAAAUACAAAGAAAGCUAAGGAAGUCAUCUCGCUUCUCAAACACCGUUUUAACUUGGGACAGAGCGAGCAGCAGUCUUUGCCUUCGUUCUGUGGAGCCUCUCAAGCAGCAGGGAACCACACAUUCUCCUGCCCCUGGAAAAAGUUGACCUACUUCACAGUGAAGCCUGAGAGGAAAUCCGUCUCUACUGUGGAAGCUACGGACUGCGAGGAGGUCCGUCUCUACUGUGGAAGCUCCGGGCUGCGAGGAGGUCCGUCUCUACUGUGGAAGCUCCGGGCUGCGAGGAGGUCCGUCUCUACUGUGGAAGCUCCGGGCUGCGACGAGGUCCGUCUCUACUGUGGAAGCUCCCCCCAGACGGAGGGCUUUGUUGCGGCAUCCAGCCCUGACUAGGGCACUGCCCUGGUGGCCUUUCUGCAUGUCCCUAAUAUGGCUGAUAGACAGAAUUUGUACCACGAGUAGCCCCAGCCAUAGACCUGCAGAGAUGGGAUUUGGAAGCUGGUUUGGUUGUGUCUUUGGGCUUGAGCACGGUGCUGAGCUCCUUGCUGGUGGGACACUGUCAUUUCCAGAGGCCCUCCAAUCCUGUGUAGACUGCUGAUAAAUGAUCACCCCUUGAUCCAGGACGUGACCAAGCCCCAAGGGUGAUGGCAGCACAGCCUUCCAAGGGACAUCUGGGGCUUCCACCUGUGACCUUGGAAACACCAGACGCAUUUCUGGGUGCUGGAAUCAAGGCACGGCAUGGAUGCCUAGAAAUGCUCCUGAGUGGCCUCAGAGCCACAGGUCGCUUAGGAGAUGGCAUCUCUCUGAGCAAGAGACCCCCGGCGGGGACCAGGCUCACCCAUCUUCAGAUCGGAGCACUGGGCAUCUGUCACAUGUCCAGAUACUGUACCACUGUUGCGGAAGGCUUAAUCCUAGGAUGGGCACAUACAUGGAAGAGAAAGUGCUUACAUGGUGUUAGGUUAGUCAAAGGGAGCGCAUCUGGUGAAAUCAAAUGUUUCGACUGUCCUGUCACCUCAGUCUCAGGAGAGCCAGUGAGAGCUUCCCUCAGUCUGGCUGAUUCCAUCUCGCUCCAAUCCAUUUCUUUCUCAGAGGCCCCUGUACCAGCAUCACCCAUCAGGGAACUGAUGAGCAAAGCAAUUCUGGGCCCUAUUCCAGGCCGAGUGACUCAAAAUUUUUGGAGUGGAGCCCAGCAGUCUUGUGUGGACAAGUCCUCCACAGCAGCUGUGCUGUGUGGUGAAGUGCAAAAAGUACUUACCUGCCAGGGGUGAAUCCUGGCAGGCCACUGGCCUUCAAAUCACUGAAUGCCCCCGCCCCUGCCCCCACCCGACUGGCUGACUGAGGCUCAGCACCCGCCCCCAACACAGUGUGAAUCUUUGAAUUCACUUGUAGAGCUUGUUUUCAAAUGCAGGUUCCUGGGCCGGCUCCUGAGAUUCUGCUGGAGUAGGUAUGUGGCGUGUUCUGGGUGGUUCUGAUGUGUGUGGCUCACAGGCUGCGUGAUGCCUCUCUCCACCUGUGACUGUGUGUGCCUCUAUCAGGUGGCAGGUGAGCUCUGCGUCUCCGCCUCCUCCUGUCCUCUCCUCAGAUGCAGUUCGCCUCUGUUCCUGCUGCUUCCCUGGUCCUGUGUCUUGUGUCCUUUUCUUUUUUUUCUUGAGACAGAGUCUUGCUCUGUCACCCAGGCUGGAGUGCAGUGGCGCGAUCUUGGCUUGCUGCAACCUCCACUUCCAGGUUCAAGCAAUUCUCCUGCCUCAGCCUCCUGAGUAGCUGAGACUACAGGUGUGCACCACCAUGCCUGGCUAAUUUUCGUAUUUUUAGUACAGAUGGUGUUUCACCAUGUUGGCCACGCUGGUCUCAAUCUCAUGACCUCGUGAUCCGCCUGCCUCAGCCUCCCAAAAUGCUGGGAUUAUAGGCGUGAGACAACGUGCCUGGCCCCCCGCGUCCUUUUUACCUUCACUUCUUUCCAGAAUCCCCACUCCCAUUCUCAAAGGCUCAGCUCAGAGAUCCCCACUCCUGAAACCUUUCACCCUCCUCCUCACUGCCACCUGCAAUCCCCAAUGUGUUCUUACUGCAAGUCCAUAAUAUCAGUUAUGGGCCCAGCUAGUGAAGACAGGCAGGUGCUGUCUUACUCAGUUGUGACUGCCCAGGGCCUGGCACUCAGCAAGAGAUGCAUACUUAUUUGUAGGCU